rnacentral:rRNA from 1 species
GACGAACGCUGGCGGCGUGCUGAACACAUGCAAGUCGAACGGUAAGGCCCUUCGGGGUACACGAGUGGCGAACGGGUGAGUAACACGUGGGUGAUCUGCCCUGCACUUCGGGAUAAGCCUGGGAAACUGGGUCUAAUACCGGAUAGGACCACUGCCUGCAUGGGUGGUGGUGGAAAGCUUUUGCGGUGUGGGAUGGGCCCGCGGCCUAUCAGCUUGUUGGGGGGGUGAUGGCCUACCAAGGCGACGACGGGUAGCCGGCCUGAGAGGGUGACCGGCCACACUGGGACUGAGAUACGGCCCAGAGUCCUGCGGGAGGCAGCAGUGGGGAACAUUGCACAAUGGGCGCAAGCCUGAGGCAGCGACGCCGCGUGAGGGAUGACGGCCUUCGGGUUGUAAACCUCUUUCAGCACCGACGAAGCGCAAGUGACGGUAGGUGCAGAAGAAGGACCGGCCAACUACGUGCCAGCCGCCGCCGUAA